rnacentral:rRNA from 1 species
AUUGAACGCUGGCGGCAGGCUUAACAAAUGCAAGUCGAGCGAGCCGCGGACGUGUUAGUAAUGUCUGGGACACUGCCUGAUGGAGGGGGAUAACUACUGGAAACGGUUGCUAAUACCGCAUAGCAUCAGCUGAGACCAGAUGGGAUUAGCUAGUAGGGUGUGUAAUGGCUCACCUAGGCGACGAUCCCUAGCUGGUCUGAGAGUAUGACCAGCCAAGCUGGAACUGAGAAACGGUCCAGACGCCGACGGGAGGCAGCAGGGGGUAAUAUUGCACAAGGGGCGAAAGCCUGAGGCAGCCAUGCCGCGUGUGUGAAGAAGGCCUUCGGGUUGUAAAGCACUUUCAGCGAGGAGGCGUUACUCGCAGAAGAAGCACCGGCUAACUCCGUGCCAGCAGCCGCGGUAAUUC